rnacentral:tRNA from 1 species
ACAUCGGUAGCACAGUGGUUUGUGCAGUCUGUCGGAAAAAGACGUGUCGGAAAGACGCGGGUUCAAUUCCCGACCGAUGUC